CUACGGGGGGCUGCAGUGAGGAAUAUUGCACAAUGGGGGGAACCCUGAUGCAGCAACGCCGCGUGGAGGAUGACGCAUUUCCGUGUGUAAACUCCUUUUAUAUGUCAAGAAAAUGACGGUAGCAUAUGAAUAAGCACCGGCUAACUCCGUGCCAGCAGCCGCGGUAAUACGGAGGGUGCAAGCGUUACUCGGAAUCACUGGGCGUAAAGGACGCGUAGGCGGGUUGGAAAGUCAGGUGUGAAAUCCUACAGCUUAACUGUAGAACUGCACUUGAAACUUCUAAGCUAGAGUAUGGGAGGGGGAGAUGGAAUUAGUGGUGUAGGGGUAAAAUCCGUAGAUAUCACUAGGAAUACCUAAAGCGAAGGCGAUCUCCUGGAACAUUACUGACGCUAAGGCGUGAAAGCGUGGGGAGCAAACAGGAUUAGAUACCCCGGUAGUC
rnacentral:rRNA from 1 species